rnacentral:rRNA from 1 species
GACGAACGCUGGCGGCGUGCCUAAUACAUGCAAGUCGAACGCAGUGGGGACGGGUGAGUAACACGUGGGUAACCUCCCAUCAGAGGGGAUAACACUUGGAAACAGGUGCUAAACCGAUACUGAUGGAUGAACCCGCGGUGCAUUAGCGAGUUGGUGAGGUAACGGAUCACCAAGGCAUCGAUGCAUAGACGACCGUAGAGGGUGAUCGGCAACACUGGGACUGAUACCCGGCCCAGACUCCUACGGGAGGCAGCAGUAGGGAAUCUUCGGCAAUGGACUAAAUUCUGACCGAGCAACGCCGCUUGAGUGAAGAAGGUUUUCGGAUCGUAAAACUCUGUUGUUAGAGAAGCGGUAUCUAACCAGAAAGCCACGGCUAACUACGUGCCAGCAGCCGCGGUAAUUC